UUGCUUUUAAUGUACAUUUCACGCCC
rnacentral:piRNA from 1 species